rnacentral:rRNA from 1 species
AUGAACGCUGGCGGCGUGCCUAAUACCUGCAAGUCGCGCGAACAGACGAGGAGCUUGCUCCUCUGACGUUAGCGGCGGACGGGUGAGUAACACGUGGAUAACCUACCUAUAAGACUGGGAUAACUUCGGGAAACCGGAGCUAAUACCGGAUAAUAUAUUGAACCGCAUGGUUCAAUAGUGAAAGACGGUUUUGCUGUCACUUAUAGAUGGAUCCGCGCCGCAUUAGCUAGUUGGUAAGGUAACGGCUUACCAAGGCAGCGAUGCGUAGCCGACCUGAGAGGGUGAUCGGCCACACUGGAACUGAGACACGGUCCAGACUCCUACGGGAGGCAGCAGUAGGGAAUCUUCCGCAAUGGGCGAAAGCCUGACGGAGCAACGCCGCGUGAGUGAUGAAGGUCUUCGGAUCGUAAAACUCUGUUAUUAGGGAAGAACAAAUGUGUAAGUAACUAUGCACGUCUUGACGGUACCUAAUCAGAAAGCCACGGCUAACUACGUG